UACGGGGGGGGCAAGCGUUGUUCGGAAUUACUGGGCGUAAAGGGCUCGUAGGCGGCCAACUAAGUCAGACGUGAAAUCCCUCGGCUUAACCUGGGAACUGCAUUCGAGACUGCGUUGCUAGAGUAUGGGAGAGGGAAGUGGAAUUUCAGGUGUAGCGGUGAAAUGCGUAGAUAUCUGAAGGAACAUCAGUGGCGAAAGCGACUUCCUGGACCAAUACUGACGCUCAUGUGCGAAAGCGUGGGGAGCAAACAGG
rnacentral:rRNA from 1 species